rnacentral:rRNA from 1 species
UGCCAGCCGCCGCGGUAAUACGGAGGGUGCAAGCGUUGUUCGGAAUUAUUGGGCGUAAAGCGCGUGUAGGCGGUCUGUUAAGUCGGGUGUGAAAUCCCGGGGCUCAACCCCGGAAUUGCAUUCGAAACUGGCAGACUAGAGGAUGUGAGAGGUGAGUGGAAUUCCGAGUGUAGAGGUGAAAUUCGUAGAUAUUCGGAAGAACACCAGUGGCGAAGGCGACUCACUGGCACAUUUCUGACGCUGAGGCGCGAAAGCGUGGGGAGCAAACAGGAUUAGAUA